rnacentral:rRNA from 1 species
UACAUGGGGUGCAAACGUUGCUCGGAAUUAUUUGGCGUAAAGCGCGCGUAGGCGGUUACUUAAGUCGGAUGUGAAAGCCCUCGGCUUAACUGAGGAAGUGCACCCGAAACUGAGUAGCUAGAGUACGAAAGAGGGUCGCGGAAUUCCCGGUGUAGAGGUGAAAUUCGUAGAUAUCGGGAGGAACACCGGUGGCGAAGGCGGCGACCUGGGUCGAGACUGACGCUGAGGCGCGAAAGCGUGGGGAGCAAACAGG